UAUGAACUUUACCCUGGUUUAAGGUGGAAUCACUACAACAGCAGUAUGAACUUUACCCUGGUUUAAGGUGGAAUCAUGGAAUCACUCCAACAGCAGUAUGAGCUUUACCCUGGUUGAAGGUGGAAUCACUCCAACUAUACCACAAUGCAACAUGUUUUAGUGAGACAGCCAAUGCUAAUUCUCUUCGGCUGAGUACAGAAUAGCUCCCUAUUCCCUAAAGAAUAUAUUUUGAUUUAACACUU